rfam:Sus scrofa chromosome 7.
GUCAGGAUGGCCGAGUGGUCUAAGGCGCCAGACUCAAGCGGCAGCUUCCCACCUUGGGCGUUCUGGUCUCCGAAUGGAGGCGUGGGUUCGAAUCCCACUUCUGACA